AUGAUAAAAAUCAAUUUAUUCAUAUUACCAAGGAUGGAAAAAUCACUUAUAUUUUCAUUUAAUGUUUUAACUCUCCUCGUCAUUUUUGUACUAGUGGCCGGAACGAUGGGGCAAGGGAAUACAAAUAAAAAAGAUAUGUGUCGUAUAAAUCUAGAUAACCAAAUGCCUGGAAGUUGCCAAAACAAGUCAGCUUGCCUAUCUGCGUGUAAGAAGAGGGUAGAAGGGUCAGCAAUACAAGAAAUAAACGCUCGUUGCUCCAUCGGAAAAAUAUGUGCGUGCUAUGCUCCAUGUCCAAAAUGAUCUUAAUGUUUAGUUUAUUGACAACGAAACUCGGAUAUAUUUAUAAUAAAUUAUGAUGCAAUUUAUAGCAAUAAUUAAAUAAGUUUUCAAA